AUCAUCUAUAUGGAGAAUGCCUUUGUUCAUUCUACUUCUUAACACAUUUCAUAAACAAGCCCUGCUGUACACGAGCGCUGCGCUGGGUCUAGACAGGCCCCAUCCAGAGGAAACACAAUGACUCCUGGCUGAUGUCAUCUCUAAAUAUGCAGCUUUAAUUGCUCCUCUCUACAGCAGCAAGGGAAAAGGAGAUCUUCGUUUCUUGUUUUCAGCACCAUUGAAACUGCGCUGCUGAUUCAGCCUGAAUUCCCGUCUUGCAAGCUCCACAGAAGCAUCCC
ensembl:lncRNA